AGUGAAAAAAAACCUAUAAGGAAAUACUGGGAUUUGAAGAGGGGUAUAAAACCAGCUCCUUUCUCUCACUAAAUGAUUCAGUACCCUUGUGGGUCUGAGUCUGCACCUCCUUCAUUUACACACCUGCAGAGCAGCCAGGACCAGGCUUGAGCAGAGACAUCACAGCUCUCGCUGCUGCCGCACCGACCAUGGCUGCGCAGGUAUUCCUUGUGGGAAUCGCCAUAGUCCUUGCAUAUUUCGCAGGAUGAUGGCGUCAGAGGGAGAAUGGCUAUGAGGGAAACCAAGGGUAUGGUGGCCAGGGAAGAUCUCCUCCUCAUCACUACCAGCCAUGACCAGAAACAGAUUUGCUUCCUUCCAAGCAGCCUGAUGCGUGUCUUCCCACUGCAGCAACUGGAAAGCCCCCGCUGCCCCCAAGCUGCCCCUUCCACAGAUUUGCAUUGCCUUGAACCAUAAAUGCUUUGAAAGCUUAAUAAAAGUGCAUUGCAGGA